rnacentral:rRNA from 1 species
UACGUAGGGUGCAAGCGUUGUCCGGAAUUAUUGGGCGUAAAGAGCUCGUAGGCGGUUUGUCGCGUCUGCUGUGAAAACCCGAGGCUCAACCUCGGGCCUGCAGUGGGUACGGGCAGACUAGAGUGCGGUAGGGGAGAUUGGAAUUCCUGGUGUAGCGGUGGAAUGCGCGGAUAUCAGGAGGAACACCAAUGGCGAAGGCAGAUCUCUGGGCCGUAACUGACGCUGAGGAGCGAAAGCAUGGGGAGCGAACAGG